rnacentral:lncRNA from 1 species
AGCUCUCCUUGAACCAAUCACGUUCUGGUAAGGAAUUAAUAUUUUUAAUUACACAUCUCGCAAAUAAGCGAGACUUUUGAUUCCAAGUUUCCAAUAUUUUGUACAGAAAUUCCCAAUUCGAAAAAUCCCAAUCUAACCAAACAGUGAAACCCUUUGAUAAAAACAAAAUUCAGUAAUAUAAAAUAGAUAAUCGAGCUAAAGAAGCUAUAAAAAAGACAGGAUUACGAAAAAUUCAGAGAAUUUAUUCGAUAGAGAAAAGAAAUACUAAUGAGACUUGAAACACCUCUAACCCAACCCAGUUUGAAAGAGAUACUCUCUCACCUAGUGAAGAUGCUUUACACUUUUCCACUUUAUCUACGCCACUUCAGUAUCUCGCAUAGAUGUCAUACUUCUUUUAAAGUGCAUAUAUUCUUAGUUCAUGGUCCUUGUCUAGCCCUGCCUGGUCUAUGUUGCUCCUUAUGACAGUUUAUACAGUUUAUACAGUUUUGUUUGAAGUUUGUUUGGGUUAUAUAGUGCCCACAGCAAUAAGCAGACUUUCAAUGCAGCAAUAAGAAACUAGACACUGCUGUUCUCAAGAAGGAACACGAUAGUUUGACGGAUCGUAUGAGUAAAAUCAAAAGCGAUCUUCUUCAUCAAGCGUCGAUUGACUCUUCCGGCGUCUUUGCUUCUCGUCUCCGUCUACUUUUCGGUGAAGAUAAAAAGUGAUCGGAGAUUUGAUUGGUUUGAGUCAACGAGGUUAUCAUUUUCUUACUCGUGCGAUGUUAUUGUAGUUCUAAAACACAUGUCUCUCUGUCUUUAGAUUGGAAGAUUAUGGCGAAUGAAUAAGUAGGGCUUUUAAGGUGAUGUGAUUUCAGACAAUGGUGUAUCGUUUUAACUUAUUUGAGAAUCUGCUUAGUGAGAUCAUUAACUUUGUUGUGGCUGAAUCGGUUUGAUUUAGUUUUGAGCAAGGAGUUACAUGUUUCUUCUGAGGC